rnacentral:lncRNA from 1 species
CCUUUAUAACUAUCAUAGGUUAACAUGGCCACAACUCAUAAUGUACAACUGUAAGUGAGCAACACUGUAUCAAUAAACUAUCGCUCUUAAGACAUGAAUACAUAUGGGUCAUCAAGGCCUCUACAUGCUAUACAAACUGAAUCUCUGUCUACAAAGCCUCUAAGGUUAUUUGACAUCAAAUGGGACAGGGUAUCGGCCUACCCAUACGUUUGUAGCAAAACUCUGACAUGUUGACUCUUUGAAUCGGCUGCACUCCGAAUGAGAUGGAGUCUUACCUAUCCUUCGCUAAAUGUCAAUCUUGUCUUCUAUGAGGGCUUGUCAAACUGAUUAUCUAUACCUGCAGGCAUGAAUGCAGUGUCCCCAACAAAAGAAUGUCAGUAUGAAUAACGUACCGAGUAUAUAAGGAAAUAUACUGAAAGCUAAAACUGAACUGAAAAUACAAUAACUGCAAGUAGCUGGAAGUCAAAGAUAAUCUGAUGAUAUGCUUACCUGUUGAUACAGACUCAACUCUCUUAAUAUAGUAAGUAAAAUAGUCAUCCGGCCCAAUAAGGCUCGAUAUAUAUAUAACUGCUCUGCCAUCGUAGGCUCGCUCAUAGGCGCUCGGCCAUACUAGGCUCUGUAUCUCGACUAACUGGGCUCGCUCAUAAGCGCUCGACCACUGUAGGCUCGGUAUAUAUAUAACUGCUCUGCCGUAGUAGGCUCAAUCAUAUGCGCUCAGCCAUACUAGGCUCUAUGUCUCGACCAACUGGGCUUUCUGAUAAGCGCUCGGUCACAGUAGGCUCGGUAUAUAACUUAUCAUCUGAUCAGAGAUUGCCCAAUAGGGGCCUGCCUAUCGAUUAUAGCUCGAUGGUAAUGAAAAUACUUUUAAUAUUGUAUAUAUGUAAAAUCCCUACUCUCUUGACUGGGGGGGGAAGGAAAUACUCAACUGAAUAUGAAUUCCCCAUAAGGAGAAUAUGGUAAUCUACAAAACUAGAAAAAUAUACGUAACUUGCGAGCCUAGCAAAAUAAUCGCAAAUUCCGAGAUAUAAAUUUUUCUUUAUAUUUCGUUAUCAAACUUGUGUAAUGACGAGAUCAUGCCAAAUGAAAGAAGAGCUUAGCCUUAACAUACCUGGAGUGGGGAAACCUCCAUAUACUAUUUCGUUGGAAAAUCGUCGUUGAUAGAACAAAAUUUGCCUCUGCUCCUUAGGGAUUCACGGAUGAAAUUUGUUUCUGGUUCCUAUAAUUUUGGAAUGAAUUUGAUCUGAUCUGGAGUGAGGCUAGGACGUUUGGUUGGAGCUUGAAAUUUCUUCUACUUUUCAAGUUGGUUCAGGCCAGAAUGUAACAAUUGUUCUUGGUCUUGAAAUUUCAAUUGUAAUUCUUUUGGCUAAGGGUGUUGACGAAAAGGAUCCUUGCCCAACGUUCUUCAUUUUUUUGAAAACCAAAGAAAUGAAAAUGAAUGUUAAAGAUCCUAAAUGGAACUCGUGGCUGAUUAGAUAAACUUUAAG